UGGAAUGAUGGGAAUUUAAACCUCUUCCAGAGUAUCAAUUGGAGGGCAAGUCUGGUGCCAGCAGCCGCGGUAAUUCCAGCUCCAAUAGCGUAUAUUAAAAUUGUUGCAGUUAAAAAGCUCGUAGUUGAAUUUCUGCUGCAUCGUCGCAUCUCUUGCUGAGUGCUUCGUUUCGGCUUAUUUCGGAUUGAUUUUUUCUUUCCGGAUGAUUACUUUGAGAAAAUUAGAGUGCUCAAAGCAGGCUUUUGCCUUGAAUAGUUUAGCAUGGAAUAAUAAAGUAGGACUUUGGUUCUAUUUUGUUGGUUUUAGGUACCAAAGUAAUGGUUAAUAGGAACAGUUGGGGGCAUUCGUAUUUAACUGUCAGAGGUGAAAUUCUUAGAUUUGUUAAAGACGAACUACUGCGAAAGCAUUUGCCAAGGAUGUUUUCAUUAAUCAAGAACGAAAGUUAGGGGAUCGAAGACGAUCAGAUACCGUCGUAGUCCUCCC
rnacentral:rRNA from 1 species